AACAUAAUUUCAUAGUAACACUAACUCAGUAAAGAUCCAGAGCUGAAAGGAGAUCAAGAACGAAGGCUAACUUACCUCACCUUACUAUAUAGAACCUUGGCCAGAACAAGCAAAUGUAAGAAAAAGGUAGAAAGAUAAAAUCUGAGACAAAGCAAUCCCCGAACACAAAGAAGCGCGAUCAAGCACCAACGCAAAGAACCAAGAAAGCGGGUCAGAGGAAGAAUAAUCACAGGAAGGUUAAAUUCACGCAGGAAGACACAUGCUUAAAGCACCGAAAGCACAACCACCAGCUAAGAGGUAAGAAGCACCUCACAAACUAAUUAAUCAUAUACAA
rnacentral:lncRNA from 1 species